GCGCAGCAGGCGAGAAUCUUCCCCAAUGGACGAAAGUCUGAGGGAGCGACGCCGCGUGAAUGAAGAAGCCCUUCGGGGUGUAAAUUCUUUCUUUAGGAAAAUUCGUGAUGGUACUAAAGGAAUAAGGGGCCGCCAAACUCGUGCCAGCAGCGGCGGUAAUACGAGUGCCCCGAGCGUUAUCCGGAAUUACUGGGGCGUAAAGCGCUAAAAGGCGGUUUGAUAAGUCAGACGUCAAAUCUCCGAGCUCAACUCGGAGCCGGUGUCUGAAACUGUCUAACUUGAGGACGGAAGAGGCAAGCGGGAAU
rnacentral:rRNA from 1 species